rnacentral:rRNA from 1 species
GAGAUUCUUGGUCUUGCCCAUGUUGAAGACACUUCCUCUUUGACACUUAAAGCUGCAAUUGAGGACAUGCUUAUGAAGUACAAUUUGAGAUUUGCAAUGGUCCGUGGGCAAAGAUAUGAUGGGGCUAGUAACAUGAAGGGUAAUGCUAAUGGCAUGAAGAAACUAAUUAUGGAUGAGUCUCCUUAUGCCUAUUAUGUCCAUUGCUUUGCCCAUCAACUACAAUUAACUAUUGUUGAUGUUGCCAAGGAGAGUGGUGAUUGUAAUUGGUUCUUUCAACAGCUUGCAUGUUUGCUAAAUUUUCUACGCUAUUCUUGUAAAAAGAUGAGAAUGCUUCAAAUAGCUCAAGCUGAGGAACUUAUUGUUGCAUUAGAGUUGGAAGAAGUAGAAACCGGGACGGGUUUGAAUCAAAAAAUGGGUAUUGGAAGGCCAUGUGAUACUCGUUGGGGCUCUCACUACAAGACAAUCAACCAUGUUAUCUCUAUGUAUCCCGCAAUAAGGCGUGUUCUCAUCAAGAUUGCAAAAAAGUAUAACGACAUAGAGGCAGUACCAGCAGUGACUAUGUUGACAUCAUUUCAGACAUUUGAAUUUGUUUUCAUGGCACACUUGAUGCAAGAAAUAUUUGAAUACACCGAUGACUUGAGUAGAGCUUUGCAAAAGAAAGAUCAAGAUAUUGUUAAUGCUAUAGAGAUUGUUGAUCUCACAAAGCUACACUUGCAAUGCUUCCGAGAAGAUGAAGGAUGGAAUAAUUUUCUGCAGAAUGUCACUUCUUUUUGUGUAAAGCACAAGAUAAAAGUUGUUGACAUGGAGGCUCCUUACUAUCCUGCUGGGAGACCAAGAAGAGGGUUCUUUAAUAGCCCAAAGAAUUACCAUCGAUUCAAGGUUGAAAUGUUUGUGGGUGUCAUUGAUAGGCAACUUCAAGAGUUGGAUGCAAGAUUUCAUGAGGUAAACGCAGAAGUACUUACUUGCAUGGCAACAUUCAGUCCACGUGAUUCAUUCGCUGCUUAUGAUAAAGAGAAGUUGGUUAGGCUUGCUAGAAAGUUCUAUGCUAAAGAUUUCACAAAUGAUGAAUUGUCAAGACUUCCAUGGCAAUUAAGCAUGUACAUUUCCCAUGUGCCUAUGGAUAAAAGGUUUAGCAAUUUGAAGAAUCUAUGUGAGCUUUCAGUUCUCAUGGUUGAGAGAAGAAAUAAUGAACAAUAUUACAUUGUGUACAAACUUAUUAAGUUGGUGCUCAUUCUUCCGGUAGCCACAACUAGCGUUGAGAGGGUAUUUUCCUCAAUGAAAUACGUGAAGAAUACGCUCAAAUUUGUGGCUCCGCCACUGAUGCGGGCUACCAAAUGCGUCUGUAGUAAUCCUGCAUGA